rnacentral:rRNA from 1 species
CAGUGGUGAACUCCACAUACGCAUCCUUUGCGGAAGGUGCGGUUAACGGAGCGUAAGCGACGUUCAACCUCAUAAAGAAGUAGAGGGGGCUUAGUGGUGGGGUGACUGCGUACCUUUUGUAUAAUGGGUCAGCGACUUAUAUUCUGUAGCAAGGUUAACCGUAUAGGGGAGCCGAAGGGAAACCGAGUCUUAACCGGGCGUUAAGUUGCAGGGUAUAGACCCGAAACCCGGUGAUCUAGCCAUGGGCAGGUUGAAGGUUGGGUAACACUAACUGGAGGACCGAACCGACUAAUGUUGAAAAAUUAGCGGAUGACCUGUGGCUGGGGGUGAAAGGCCAAUCAAACCGGGAGAUAGCUGGUUCUCCCCGAAAGCUAUUUAGGUAGCGCCUCGUGAAUUCAUCUCCGGGGGUAGAGCACUGUUUCGGCUAGGGGGUCAUCCCGGCUUACCAACCCGAUGCAAACUGCGAAUACCGGAGAAUGUUAUCACGGGAGACACACGGCGGGUGCUAACGUCCGUCGUGAAGAGGGAAACAACCCAGACCGCCAGCUAAGGUCCCAAAGUCAUGGUUAAGUGGGAAACGAUGUGGGAAGGCCCAGACAGCCAGGAUGUUGGCUUAGAAGCAGCCAUCAUUUAAAGAAAGCGUAAUAGCUCACUGGUCGAGUCGGCCUGCGCGGAAGAUGUAACGGGGCUAAACCAUGCACCGAAGCUGCGGCAGCGAACGUAUCACUUAAAACGAUUCAGAAGCUUACGAUUGACGGAGCGAAGCGACGUCAAAGCGUAUACAAAGUCGAGUCGGUUUAAGGAUACGUUCGUUGGGUAGGGGAGCGUUCUGUAAGCCUGCGAAGGUGGCCUGUGAGGGUUGCUGGAGGUAUCAGAAGUGCGAAUGCUGACAUAAGUAACGAUAAAGCGGGUGAAAAGCCCGCUCGCCGGAAGACCAAGGGUUCCUGUCCAACGUUAAUCGGGGCAGGGUGAGUCGACCCCUAAGGCGAGGCCGAAAGGCGUAGUCGAUGGGAAACGGGUUAAUAUUCCCGUACUUGGUGUUACUGCGAAGGGGGGACGGAGAAGGCUAUGUUGGCCGGGCGACGGUUGUCCCGGUUUAAGCGUGCAGGUGUGUGUUCCAGGUAAAUCCGGUUCACUUUAACACUGAGGCGUGACGACGAGGCAC